rnacentral:tRNA from 1 species
GCCUGGCUGGCUCAAUGGGGAGAGCAUGUGACUCUUGAUCUCAGGAUCGUGAGUUCAAGCCCCAUGUUAAGUG